UCUAUAUGGCUCAUUUCCUGUGCAAGGAUCAAUAAUAUAUUGGGUAGCAUAUGAGGCAGCUUUGGAUUGAAAUAUGCCACAGAAAGCACAUCUGAAACGUUUCUUCAUACAGCUUGGCCAAUUAUGUAUCUAUACAUUCUGUUAAUAAACUUUAUAGAGCAUCAGCUGUGUGCACAUUUCUAAGUCAUGAAUAUGAACACGUUCUGUAUCUUUUAGGACAAAUCAGUCCAUCUAACGAUUCUGGUGCUGAACUGGGCUCAUCUCCUAGUACCAGCAGUCAAGAGUGACACGAGUCUGACUACUUCACUUUCUCAACUGUCUGGAACCAGAUUUACCAGAAUACAUAAAAUAAUUUUAUCAUGACAUUGUAUAGAAACUU